UGCAGUCGAGCGAACUGACGAGGAGCUUGCUCCUUUGACGUUAGCGGCGGACGGGUGAGUAACACGUGGGUAACCUACCUAUAAGACUGGAAUAACUCCGGGAAACCGGGGCUAAUGCCGGAUAACAUAUCGAACCGCAUGGUUCGAUAGUGAAAGACGGUCUUGCUGUCACUUAUAGAUGGACCCGCGCCGUAUUAGCUAGUUGGUGAGGUAACGGCUCACCAAGGCGACGAUACGUAGCCGACCUGAGAGGGUGAUCGGCCACACUGGAACUGAGACACGGUCCAGACUCCUACGGGAGGCAGCAGUAGGGAAUCUUCCGCAAUGGGCGAAAGCCUGACGGAGCAACGCCGCGUGAGUGAUGAAGGUCUUCGGAUCGUAAAGCUCUGUUGUUAGGGAAGAACAAAUGUGUAAGUAACUGUGCACAUCUUGACGGUACCUAACCAAAAAGCCACGGCUAACUACGUGCCAGCAGCCGCGGUAAUACGUAGGUGGCAAGCGUUAUCCGGAAUUAUUGGGCGUAAAGCGCGCGUAGGCGGUUUUUUAAGUCUGAUGUGAAAGCCCACGGCUCAACCGUGGAGGGUCAUUGGAAACUGGAAAACUUGAGUGCAGAAGAGGAAAGUGGAAUUCCAUGUGUAGCGGUGAAAUGCGCAGAGAUAUGGAGGAACACCAGUGGCGAAAGGCGGGCUUUCUGGUCUGUAACUGACGCUGAUGUGCGAAAGCGUGAGGAUCAAACAGGAUUAGAUACCCUGAUAGUCCACGUCCGUAAACGAUGAGUGACUAAGUUGA
rnacentral:rRNA from 1 species